GAUGAAGAACGCAGCGAAACGCGAUAUGUAAUGUGAAUUGCAGAAUUCAGUGAAUCAUCGAAUCUUUGAACGCACAUGGCGCCUUCCAGUAUCCUGGGAGGCAUGCCUGUCCGAGCGUCGUUUCAACCCUCGAGCCCCCGUGGCCCGGCGUUGGGGAUCUGCCCAGGCAGUCCCCGAAAACCAGUGGCGGACCCGUUCCAGGCCCUUCCCUUGCGUAGUAGCAUUCGCCUCGCAUCGGGAGCCGGCGGGCUUCCAGCCUCUAAACCCCCAUCAAGUCCGCCCCGGCGGCACCAAGGUUGACCUCGGAUCAGGUAGGAAUACCCGCUGAACUUAAGCAUAUCAAUAAGCGGAGGA
rnacentral:misc_RNA from 1 species